UGCGAACGUUUGCGGCGGGCUUAACACAUGCAAGUCGAACGAGAAUCCCUUCGGGGAGGAAAGUGGCGCACGGGUGCGUAACACGUGGAUAACCAACCCAUUGGUUUGGGACAACACCGGGAAACUGGUGCUAAUACCAGAUGUGUCGCAGCUGUCUUCAGGCGGUUGCGAGAAAGGCCCGCAAGGGUCGCCAACGGACGGGUCCGCGUCCCAUCAGCUAGUUGGUGAGGUAAUGGCUCACCAAGGCAAAGACGGGUAGCUGGUCUGAGAGGAUGAUCAGCCACACUGGAACUGAGACACGGUCUAGACUCCUACGGGAGGCAGCAGUAGGGAAUAUUGGACAAUGGACGCAAGUCUGAUCCAGCCAUCCCGCGUGCAGGAUUAAGGCCCUCUGGGUUGUAAACUGCUUUUAUUAGAGAAGAAACCUCAGAUUUAUCUGAACUUGACGGUAUCUAAUGAAUAAGCACCGGCUAACUCCGUGCCAGCAGCCGCGGU
rnacentral:rRNA from 1 species